CUAGGACAUCGUGUCCACCAUGCUGCGAGUUUGAGUCCAGGGCAAGCUCUUCUAAACUCGCAGCUUAGGUCGCCCAAGUGGGACAGCCCCUUAAUGCUGCUGUAAGCAAGAAUAUCAUUGUUCCAUUGUCAGUACAUAUGACAAUUAAACACUUGUCUCUUGUCUGGAGCUGCCAAGGGCAUCGCUGGAGCAGAGAGGGAUUACUCACCAGAAACUCUCCAAUGACUAGCACCCUUACCAGGAUUUCCAUUACGGUGCAUUUGGUGUUGAUUUACGGUCUUGUAUCUGAAAGUGCUUCACAAAUAUCAUCAUUGUCCCAAAAAGGAAUGGCUAGGAAGACGGGCACUCCUGACAAUACUUCCAGCCUUCCUGAUGCACCAAUAUGGACUGGAUGGAAGGAACUGAUGAGCAUGUGAUGGACGGGGAGGUGUUCAGCACUCUUUGCAGGUUCAGGUGGUCAAGAGCAAAAGUGUUGUCAUAUCAGACGGAGAUGCAUCCGGUCAGAAUACCGAUGUAUCAGAGAGAACACCUAGGUUUUGUACGGUAACUCAGUACACGUGACAAUAAACUAAAUGGACAUGAUCUACCCACCGCUGAAAUAUUAUGUCAUUUUCUCCUCCUUUGUGCAUUGCUGUCAUC